CUCCCCCUCUGUUUCAUGCACAGGCCCUUUUAAAGGGUUAAAAAACUUGAUUAGAGAAGGAUUAGGAGUCCUAAACAAAGCCAGAUAACCCCUGGACCGUCGGAUUAAGACCGGGAGCCACCCACAUCCUCAGAUCGUGCUCUGGUCCAUGAAAUAGUGCUGUGAACCACGAGAAACGUGUGGGAAAUACCCACGCGGUCCACAGGCCUAGCCGUAGACCGCCCGA
rnacentral:lncRNA from 1 species